UACGAAGGGGGCUAGCGUUGCUCGGAAUCACUGGGCGUAAAGGGUGCGUAGGCGGGUCUUUAAGUCAGGGGUGAAAUCCUGGAGCUCAACUCCAGAACUGCCUUUGAUACUGAAGAUCUUGAGUUCGGGAGAGGUGAGUGGAACUGCGAGUGUAGAGGUGAAAUUCGUAGAUAUUCGGAAGAACACCAGUGGCGAAGGCGGCUCACUGGCCCGGUACUGACGCUGAGGUGCGAAAAGCGUGGGGAGCAAACAGG
rnacentral:rRNA from 1 species